rnacentral:rRNA from 1 species
GAUGAACGCUGGCGGCGUGCCUAAUACAUGCAAGUCGAGCGAACAGACGAGGAGCUUGCUCCUCUGACGUUAGCGGCGGACGGGUGAGUAACACGUGGAUAACCUACCUAUAAGACUGGGAUAACUUCGGGAAACCGGAGCUAAUACCGGAUAAUAUAUUGAACAGCAUGGUUCAAUAGUGAAAGACGGUUUUGCUGUCACUUAUAGAUGGAUCCGCGCCGCAUUAGCUAGUUGGUAAGGUAACGGCUUACCAAGGCAACGAUGCGUAGCCGACCUGAGAGGGUGAUCGGCCACACUGGAACUGAGACACGGUCCAGACUCCUACGGGAGGCAGCAGUAGGGAAUCUUCCGCAAUGGGCGAAAGCCUGACGGAGCAACGCAGCGUGGGUGAUGAAGGUCUUCGGAUCGUAAAACUCUGUUAUUAGGGAAGAACAAAUGUGUAAGUAGCUAUGCACGUCUUGACGGUACCUAAUCAGAAAGCCACGGCUAACUCCGUG